UGUAGGAGUGAGCCUGCUCGCGAUAGCGCCGGGUCAGGCAAAUUAUUUCUGACUGACACGCCUCAUCGCGAGCAGGCUCACUCCUACA
rnacentral:misc_RNA from 1 species